GUGGUAGUUCCACCAAUCCCACCCAUAAUUUUUGCAUUGAGAUAUGGUUUCGCCAAGUUGCCUCUAUUUUUUUUUUCCCCUUGUCUACCAAAAAAAAACAUGUUUUGAUUGUGUGGAGCUUGGAAAGGUCAAGUUCAAUCUCAUUCGACCCUCCUCUCUACCCUGGAUGCAAGAAAAAAAAUAGAACGUACACAUGUAUGUCAUACAAAAUGGACCUUGUAUCCUUCUCCUCCUCACUAUUCUCACGAUCCAGGUCUAUCCACAUAGGCGUUUUCUACAUAGACAUUGUUUACAUAGGCGUUGUCUACAACAUUCCAUAUUGGACCACUAGAUCUUGGACAAUGAGGCAUAAAAAAAAAUAUGGAGGUUUUCCAUAGCAUUCUCUAUAGAAUAAAAAAAAAUCUAGAAGAAUUCCAUAGUGUUCUUCAUAAAAGUCUGGUCCUUAUGAAUAAUAUGAAAGAGUUGUAUUUAGUAUGUUGAUUAACCAACUAUCCAGCUCCAUGUUCUAGGAGGGGAAUUCCUUUGAUAAGAUCUUGACCAACCCCACGAUAAAUGAGAUAAUCUAGGGACUUUACUGCCAUUUUAAAAAAGACUUUUGUUGGAUGGACCCUAAGUGUCCCAUAUCCUAUGAUUCACACUUGUUGAUAUGCAGGAAGACUGAGGCUUUGUAGAGUGUCUCAGAAGCAUAGAGGAAAAAUUUCCCAAAGUCCAUGGCCUUGAUCAUGCCUAUAUUUGAGGGUCAUUCGAUCAUGUCAUAAGAUUUCCCAAAAAUCAAUCUCAAUGAAGAGGGUGUUGAAAUCAAGGAAACAUUUGAGGGAAUUCCAUAACUUUUUCCCCUUCAAGCAAUAUCAAAGACAACAUGCACUCCUUUUCCUCCAACAACCUUCCAUCCAAAACCCAACAAAAUUCCAUAAGAAGUUUGAUAAACCCAACAACCUUCCAUCCAAAGUCAACAAAAUUGAAACCCAUUUUUGAGAGUUGUUGGUGCCUCAUCCUAUAACUGACGACCUCGUUAAGAAAUUCAGAGAUGUUGUCGAGGGCCCCGGGAAGAGUUAUCUUUUAUUUUUAACAACGUGCCCACCCUGAAAUCGACUCAACUAGAGAUAGGGUCCAGUAGCUGGAAGGACAUCGCACGUCUUGCGGUGUCUGAUGCACCCUUUACGGCCCUUGAAAAUCUGGAAGACCGAGUACCAUCCAUGCUCGGUCGUACUCAUAACCGCAUUAGGUCUCCAAGGUGAACAACCUCUGGUCAAUAGAACAAUGUAGGUAAGGGAAAUCUACAAAAUAGAUUCGUAACUUCGGGAAAAGGAUUGGCUCUAAGGGCUGGGCCUAGGGGUCCGUGUCCUCAACCCGUGGGCUGUUGAUAGUUUGCCCAUGGGACUGUCAUUGAUUAAUGCUAUGUCCUUUUGAAUGGUAGUGAAACUAAUUAAUGCUACCUCAUUUUGAAUGGUAGUGCAACUACUUCUUCUUUUAUAUUUUAGAAGUGAUUAGGGCAUAUAUCGAGGUGU
rnacentral:ncRNA from 1 species